AUUGGCUUCUCUAAUUGUUGCAAAAACGCCUUAUGCUUUAUAACAGUGUAGACGAUUCUCAACAGCCCAAAACCACCAAUAGUUCCACAAACCAACAUAUCGAGAAAAAUCCUGCACGCGGAGGCUGACCUGAGCAGGACCUCAGAAAAAAUGGAUAUAAGUUCACCGAAAUAGAUAGCUAAACUCCAAAACAUACAAAUGAACCAAAAUUUAAGAACAACGACACAAAAGACUAACAAAGGCUAGAUGAUCCUGACUUGGGACAGUCGCAAAAAUGCGGUGGGUUAAACAUGUUUUCUGAGAUCUCAACCCUUAAUGGAAAAAAUAAACACACAGUUUAAACAAUCCGAGUCCUGUGUUAGUAGGUAACAGAUGAAACUAAGCAAAUUGACAAUGAUACAUAAUUUAGCAAAGGGCUAGUAACAGUAACUGACAAGCCAGUCCCACACUUCAAUUUAACUGAUUGCAAGAUUAUGUCUACGUCAAUUUAGAAUCAACCCGUCAGGGGUUUAGUAUCAUAGGGAUUUCAUGCCAUCAUAAUAGCAUAAUCCGUA
rnacentral:lncRNA from 1 species